rnacentral:ncRNA from 1 species
UUAAUUUAAUAUUGAUUAUUUAAUUAUAUUAUAAAAUUAAUUUAUAUAUAUAAAUUUUUAUGAAUUAAAUUUUUUAGAUAAAAAUUAAUUGAAUUUAAUAUAUAAAAUUAUUAUUUUAAGAAAUUAUUAAUAGAAAUUUUUAUUAAUAAAGGUUAAUUUUGUGCCAGCAUCAGCGGUUAAACAAAAUUUAUAAAUUUAAUAAAUUUUAAAAUUAAAAAUUUAAAAAUUAAUAUUAAAAUUUAAUUAUUUAAGAUAAAAUUAAAUAUUUAAAUUUUAAUAUUUAAUUAAUUAAUUAAUUUAAUAAAUUAUUAUAUUAAACUAGGAUUAGAUACCCUACUAUUAAUAAUUUAAUUUAAAAUUUAAAUUAGUAAAUUAAUAAUUGAAAUUUAAAAUAUUUGGCGGUAUUUUAAUCUAUUUAGAGGAACCUGUCUAUUAAUUGAUAACCCACGAUAGGAAUAAACUUUAUAUUUAAUAUUUAUGUAUGUUCGUUAAAAAAAUAUUUUAUGAAAAUUUAAAUUUUUAAAAAUUUAAUUGUUAUAAAUUUAUUUCAGAUCAAUAUGUAGUUUAUUAAAGAUAGGAUGGGUUACUUUUAUUUUUAGUAAUAAAUUUAAUUUAAAUUUAUUAAAUUAAAAAGGAUUUAAUAGUAAAAAUUUUAAAUUUAAAAUUUUGAAUAUAGUUUUAGAAUAUGUACAAAUUGCCCGUCGCUUCUAUAAAUAGAAUAAGUCGUAACAAAGUAAAUGUACUGGAAAGUGUAUUUAGAUAUAUAUAUAUAUAUAUAUAUAUAUAU